rnacentral:lncRNA from 1 species
CAGUUUUUUGAUGAUGAGUGUAUUUAGAUGAAAUGUGGAAAAAAGAUAAAAGAGACCAACAAAACCGAGACCAUUAAACACAUCUUAAUCUUUAAACUGCAUUCUUCUUAAUCCUUCCGUUAACUUCCUGCUGUGUGCAUGUCAUUAUAUGCAGAAUUGACUGUGGAGUUUACCAAACACCUGAGGCGCCCAAGGACCUGCUCUUUAAGAAGGACUUGGCCAGUCCUCUGGAGAGGAGAGAUCAAGGUAGUGUCAAUCAACGUGAGAGUUGUAGGGAGGGGUAUUUGAGACUACAUUGUUUUGCGUUUUGCAGUAAAAUAAUGUAUGCAUUCUAUAAUACAGGAUUUUGAAUUAUGCAUUGUUCUGUUUUGUUCUGUUUGCAGUGGAAAAUGACAAAGUCGGAAGUGCGUCCAACCAAGCUGGGUCACUUUUCUCAGACACAAAACCAAAGGAGGGAUACCAAAAACAAGAAGACGAAAGGAAAGAGGAGAAGAAGAAGCUACCCGAACGAGACGUCUACACUUUUCCAGGUGACUCGGACCCGGAGAGUCCACCUCCAGGGCCGUGGGCACACUGCACCUUCAUCCAGCGCCGGAGAAAGAAGAGAGCUUUACUGAGACCUUUCUCUGGACUGAACACCUGGCAACGCACAACUGGGGCGAACAGGAAAACCAGGUUAAUCCCGGCCAGGACGAAGAGUCGGGCGAAGGUGGUGAACGAUGAAGGAGGGGUGUUCGAUUUCAAGGAGGAGGAAGAUGAGGACGAGGACAAAGUCCAAGAGGCGGAGAUUGGACAAGGACAACGGGGAGAUCUGUGCCAGGAUAUUUUUACUUGUGUAGAAUGUAGCAUUUACUUUAAAAGACGAGCACAUCUGCGGGAACACAUGCGAGAGCAUGUCCCAGAUGGCAGGAGAAAGGGACAGGGUGGUGAGGAGGGCGUUAGGAGGAGGCGAGCCAAAAAAACUGGCUUUGAGUGCAUGGAGUGUGGUCAGGAAUUCUCAGACAGGCUGGUGUUGGUGGAUCAUCACAGGCGGCAUCAAGAGGCACGGCGCAAAAUCCUGGAAGAGAUUGGAAAGCUGAACGAGGGAGGGACGGGGACGGAAGAGCAGGCCAAUCGCAGGAAGCCAAGGCGUCUAGCCGCCCAAGAACCUUCCACCACCCCCGUCUGCGGACAGUUUGUCUGUCUCAAGUGCAACUACAGCUCUGAUGUACCUCAAGAACUUGCAGACCACGCUAAGACUCAUACAACUCGAGCAAAGGCUGGUUCUCCAAGAGCCGGUUCUCCAAGAGCCGGUUCUCCAAGAGCCGGUUCUCCAAGAGCCGCUUCCCCAAAAGCAGCUUCCCCAAAAGCAGCUUCCCCUAAAGCAGCUUCCCCUAAAGCAGCUUUACCUAAAGCAGCUUCCCCAAAAGCAGCUUCCCCAAGAGUCGCUUCUCCGAGAGAUGCUUCCCGUUCCCAGCCAAGAUCCCACAAAAAAGGACAGACACGAUCUUCUGGAACUGGUACCUCAAACCCUGCCAACACACUUCCUACAGAGAGGUAUCCAACGAGAGCCUCGGUCCACGCUGUGGAAAAACAGCCUCAACAGCCUGAAGAGCCUCAAGUUGACCCCUCUCAGGCCAGUGCCAGUGACCGUCCUCCCAUAAACGAGGGUGACUCCAUUGCAGGGUCCAUCCAGGAUCGCACCGACUCUGCAACUCCAGAAGAACCAGCCACAAAACCAGAACCAGGGCCAGAACCAGAUCCAGAGCCACAACUGGAGUUAGCAAGUGCUGAUCCUGAUACUGAUGCUGCUGCUCCCCCAGAGGGUCCAUCACUAAAGGAGGAAUCUCCUGCAGAAGGGUCAACUAAAGCCGGUUCAGUAGAGGAGACCGUCCCAAAGCCCCAGUCUCCUGUAACAGUACCUUCAAAUCCAGCAUCUUCAAAUCCAGCUCCCUCAAAUUCAGCACCUUCAAAUACAAGAGCUGCACCACGCCGCAGGGAAGUAGCGUACAAGAGUACAGGGAAACGGCGCUCGAAGCGGGUUGUGAGGGACGCGAUGGGCAGGACCCGAGCAAGUAGCAGACUGGAGUCGAAGCAUACUGAGAGUAACGAUGCUGAGAACCCAAUCCAAAACACUGAGCAGACAGUAGAGCAGGACCAAAAAGAGGCUGCACCACUACCAGAGCCAGAGGCUGAUCCACAGUUGGCUAAAGAAAUGGAAGAGUCUUCUGCUGAGACCUCUGACCUCAAACCUUCCCCUCCACCAAAGACCAGUGAGGAGACCAAAGAAGAAAGCAAAGAGGAAAUCCCUCCAGACGACACAAACGAAGAGUGUGGUAAAGAUACUCCUGCUGCAGAAGCCACAGAUCAUGCUGAUAAGGAUGAUAAGGAUGAUAAGGAUAAGGAAAAUGAUGGCAACGAGGAAGAUGAAGAUGAUGAAGAGGAAGACGAUGAGGAUGUCUUUAGUCGUCUACUUGAUGCCUUAACUGAAGAGGAGGAUGAGGAGGACGAGGAGGGUGUUUCAUUAAAGAGCGUGGGAAGGAAGUG